rnacentral:rRNA from 1 species
AUGAGGCAUCCGAACCUUGUCACUCUGAUAGGAGCGUGCAGGGAGGCCAGAGUGUUGGUCUUCGAGUUCUUGUCAAAUGGAAGCCUAGAGGACUGUCUGCAGCGCGAGAACCGAAGAGAGGCACUCUCAUGGCGAAUGCGCGUCAGAAUUGCUGCAGACAUUUGCACGGGACUUAUCUUUCUCCACUCCAACAAACCAAAAGGCAUCGCACAUGGUGAUCUCAAGCCUGACAAUGUCCUUCUCGACGCCAACUUUGUUUGCAAACUGGCAGACUUUGGGAUCUCUCUCCCCUUGAAUGUCACAAACACCACUAUCACCCCUUACCACCGAACAAACCAACUCAAGGGCACAAUGGGAUACAUGGAUCCAGCAUAUAUUGCGUCAGGGGAGCUCACGGCACUAAUAUGA